UGGUCUUAGACGGUUGCUUAAGGGGGCUGAAGGGGGCAAGGAACAGCAUAAUUUCUGGAUUCUCGUGAGGCAAGGAGAAAAGCCACUAGACUCCCUGGAACCAGCGUAUGGUGGAUAUGGACGAUGGGUGACCCAGAGGCUGAUGGACUGGACCCUCACAAUGGUCAUGGACCCCAGUACUGAGCAGCAUGAAACCAGCUCGUGAAAAAGCUGAAAUAAUAUGGGAUCCAGCAGAACUAGGCCUGGCCACCUCUGGCCCAGAUCUAACAUUUCCAGCUAUCUUUGCCUAGCUGCAUGCUUGAGGACUGCUAGAUGUUUUGGAAUGAAGGAUGUGACUCACGGUAAACUUUGCUCUGGUACAGUUCCACACCCUAACUCUGUUAACAUCUAGGGACAGAUAGAUAAGAAUCAGUCAUGACAGGGAGGCAUGGCAUCAGGCAAGCACAAUGGCCAGAGCAGGAAGCUGAGAAACCACACCCUUAAUCACCAGCAGCACCGGAUCAGAGACACCCAACAAGCAGUAGAAAUGAGGAGUGCUCUGCGUCCUGGGUGAAUGAAUUACUCACUGCCACCAGAGGGUGAGUGACGGAGCUGAGCUGGAGCCCUGUUCUUCAUGCAGAUUCACGUCAUGAACAUGACCCCCAGACACAUGCAGACACACGCUGGACCACUGCCCACUUCAGCCCAGGUGCUUUGUAAAGAUCUGCUGGAGAAAUGAACAUCACAGAGUCAGCUGCCAGUCAGUCAGCAGCUUAUUGUCAUCCAUGACUUGAAAAAAGAUAUCAACACAGAACAAGCACACCAAAGAAUCAUCUUUAAACACUGCUUUUCAAAACUGUCCCAGGACAAUCCUUAUCCUCCAGUUCCUAGAGUUGAGUAAAACAGGGCUUCUUUAGUUCUGCCAACAACACUGUUCUAAUGAAAUUCCCUGGUCAGAAUUCUCAGAGUUAAAAACCCCAGCUUUUCACUUGAUGUAUCAGGAAACCAAGGCAUAGCCAAACUGUGGAGCCCCGUUGAAUCCAAACUUUGUAAAACUGUCUUUAGAAAAAGGCAAAUAAUUGCACAAUGGGAUAUUUCCCUUUUAGUCUUUCCAUACUAGUAAUUGGCCUCUGAGCCAAUUAUAUUGUUAAAAAAAAAAAGCUCAGAACUGAAUAUUUUUAGUUCAUCCUUUCCUCAGUUAAUCUAUAGACUGCAUGUCCUUCUGGCAGGCCAUUUUGGUGAAAGCGGAGUGUCUACAUUGAGGGAAUGUAAGAAAAUGCAAAGGACUGAGACAGUUACAGUUGCGAGCCGUCAUGUGGGUGCGGGAAUUGAACCCCAGUCCUCUUAAAGAGCAGUCGGUACUCUUAACUGCUGAGCCAUCUCUUUUAAUCACUGAUUCCAAGUAUCUAGGCAAAGCAACAGUAACCAAGGCAGCAGGGAGAACAUCAGACUCUUGAGGUGGAGAAAGAGUUCACAGAGAAAAGGACAGAGGAUGGAGCCUCUGCAGCAGUCUUGUGCUGUCCUCCCCUGUGAUGUUACCCUUCCAAAUAACAAACGUAAACAAGUGACAUUUGUUGUCUCUGUUUCUGUGUCCCCAGGUCCAGAGGUUGAAGUUAAGCUGCUAGCUAAGGCAAGGACACAGUUCCACAGGCAGGCUCACUCACAGUCCUCUUCUGCCUCAGCUCCUAGACACAUGGGCCUCUCCAUAGGCCUCCUGCUUCCCUCAACUCAUGACUCUGCCUUCUGGGCUUCUCCUAGAGUGAAAGAAAGGGGGGUGGGGGGGAUAGGUCAGAAGAGAAGGAUGACAGCAACUUCAGUCUUUUUAUGACUUAUUCUCUGGUGACAUUGACAUACUUUUGAUUGUCCAUGAAUUUGUGGACAUAUCCUUAACACCAUGGUAUAUACCUUAUAAAGAAUUUAUGCACAGAGUAAGUAGAGAAUACUUCCAAGUCUGAGAAAACUAACUAUUCUGUUCCAAGCAAAUACAAGAACUCAAUACACACUUUUAAAAGAUGCACUAGUGUUAAGUUUGUGAAAAUAUGUUCAGUACCAUUGGCAAUCACAGAAAUGUAAAGAGAAACCAACACAUGCUUAUAAGGAUGGGUAAAAAUUUUUUGUUUUGUUUUUUGUUUUUUGAGACAGGGUUUCCUCUGUGGCAUUGGAGGCUGUCCUGGAAUUAGCUCUUGUAGACUAGGCUGGUCUCGAACUCACAGAGAUCUGCCUGCCUGUGACUUCUGAGUGCUGGGACUAAAGGCCUGCACCACCAACGCCCAGAUAGGAUGGGUAAAAUUUAAUGGACUGAAAAUAUUGAUUAAAUAUUGGCAAGGAUAUAGAG
ensembl:lncRNA